AAUAGUUCUUUGAAAUUUUGAAGUGCCCUAUUUCAAGUCAUUUUUAAUGUGACUGGUUACAUUUUAAGUGUAUUUAUUGUAACAGUGUACAUUUAGUGUCAUUUCUGAUGACUUUAAAAGUUGUUUUUUGUGUAUUCUGCAGGAUCUCAUUUCUUGGUGGAAGGAUUCGAGAAGUACUACACGCCAGCAUACAUGACAUUUGAAACUUUGAUAAUUUGACAGUGACUUAACAAAUUAAGAAAUAUUGUGAAAUCUAGAUGGCUAACAUAGGACAUUUCGGGCUUCGACUAACUUGUCUAGUGUUGAUGUUUAAAGUUAUGAAAUACAGAAUUCUGCUGAGUGUAAUAGAAGUCCAUAAUGAAGCUUUAAAUGUGACAGAUUUACUAUAGAUUAAAGAAGGGCGAAAAUGGACAAGGCCGUGUCCUAAAUAAGAAAUAUGAAAAAUGGGAACUGGUUGAUGGAUAUGGAUGAAACUUUGCAUCAGUGUUGUGUUUAUGAAUAGAAAUCAGGAAAAUAAAGGAUAACUGACAGACCAUGCAGUUACCAAAAGCCGGGGUGACCUUACCUUAUAUACUGGUUAAGAUCUAUGGAAGAACUCCUUCAGCUCAGUUUGGCAGCAGAUUUGUCAGGACAAGAUGAGAAGGAUCUCAUUUCUUGGUGGAAGGAUUCGAGAAGUACUACACGCCAGCAUACAUGACAUUUGAAACUUUGAUAAUUUGACAGUGACUUAACAAAUUAAGAAAUAUUGUGAAAUCUAGAUGGCUAACAUAGGACAUUUCGGGCUUCGACUAACUUGUCUAGUGUUGAUGUUUAAAGUUAUGAAAUACAGAAUUCUGCUGAGUGUAAUAGAAGUCCAUAAUGAAGCUUUAAAUGUGACAGAUUUACUAUAGAUUAAAGAAGGGCGAAAAUGGACAAGGCCGUGUCCUAAAUAAGAAAUAUGAAAAAUGGGAACUGGUUGAUGGAUAUGGAUGAAACUUUGCAUCAGUGUUGUGUUUAUGAAUAGAAAUCAGGAAAAUAAAGGAUAACUGACAGACCAUGCAGUUACCAAAGCCGGGGUGACCUUACCUUAUAUACUGGUUAAGAUCUAUGGAAGAACUCCUUCAGCUCAGUUUGGCAGCAGAUUUGUCAGGACAAGAUGAGAAGGUAAUAACUUAUGUCCAGUUUGAAACUUCAGCUAUUGACGGCAACAAUUCCCAAUGCUCGGACAAUAUUUGGUAGAUAUUUUGAUGUAUAUCCAGAGAAAAUUUCUCUAAUUUUGACUAUUUUAAGACUUUUCAAUGAUUUAAAGUGGGAGACAGUAUGUGCAAUCAUUUUUUAGCCUUAUUUGGGUGAGAGUUGGUUAAUCUUACUUUGUCAGAAGACAUAGCCCAUAGGGAUAUGGUAACCUCUUUGCUAAACUUAAGAUUACCUCUGUAAAACUUUGUCUUUAUUGAUAUCUUAAGCAAACAAUUUGUAGGGUAUAUAUCUUGGUACUUUACUUUAUUUACCAUGCUAUAUAGGUAAAAAUCAUAAUCAGUAAGUUUUAUUGCAAAAUUGAAAGAAAAAGUUAUGAAAAAAGUACAUUUAAUUGUGAUUACUUGUAUUUUAACCCAAAAUUUCAUGCCCUCAUUAAAAUAAAUGGAGUUAUUAUUACAA